rnacentral:lncRNA from 1 species
AUGACCCAAGCCAAACUAGUUUACCGCCGGAGCACCCUUCGCUACGUUUACAGACCUGGGGCACCAAAAUCUCCCCACCGGCUCCCGUGCUCGGUCGCACAACCCGGGACAGCCCCCGCCGUCGCCCCCCGACACCGUAGGGCCUCGACGGCCGCUCCUCCACCCUCACCCCACCGCCCCGGCCUGCUGGGAGCCCUCCCGGGCCGGCCCCAAGCCCCGCUCCCCGAGCGGCCAUCCCGCAGGGCUGCCUGGCUCCCCUCCAGCGCCGGAGACCACGGCCCAGGGCGGGGCAAAGCAGGCACCUCAGCCCGCCCCGGGUCUCCCCUGCCCCCGGCCUGCCCUGACACGNNNNNNNNNNCACCAGGCCGCGGCCCGGCCCCUCCCCGGUACUCACGCUCUCCGGCCGGGCCCCCCGCAGCGGGCGGGCCUGGUGCGCGCCCCGGCCUAUAUACGGUGACCGGCAAGGGAGAGCGAUGCCCCCGGCCGGUGCCGCCCCUGCCCGGAAACUCCGAGUGGGGCCGACGCACCGGGAAAGCCCCGGCCGGGCGUACCCGGGGCCUGACGGCGGGGAGGCCGGGCGGGGCCUCUCCUCCUCCCGCCCCUCCCUCCCGCCGGGUCGGGGGCGAGCCGCCGGCCUGUGGGCUGUGCCCAGCCUCCCCAGCCAGCGGCUUUCUAUGGCGGCCGCAGGCGGGGCGAACCUUCCCUUGGGCUGCCCCUCAGCUGGGCUCCUUCGUUCCGCCCGCUCGUUCCCCGAGGGAGGGAGGAAGGGAGGGCGGCCCGGCCCCGCCGGCGCCAGCAGGGACGUUAGAGCAAGCUGGAAGCGCUCCCAGUUUGGGGACAUCCAGCAGGACUCCCCAGAUGAAGUUACAUUGAAUCUGUUGUAACAGAUUCAUGGACUUUUUACCCUACAUUCAUCCAAGGUAGAUUAAUCCAGUGUUCCUCCUUAACUCCCCGCAGCCUGCAUCCCUCCCUUGUGCCACUCCACCCCCAGCCUGUAUCUGCCCUUUACCCCUCUGUACCCUUCCCUCUCCUUCCAAUCUGGCAAUAGAAACUGCUGUUUCCUCCCCUCCCAGGCCUCAGGGUGAGCAGUUUCAGGCUCUCCCUUUCUGCUUGGCAAGCCUCACGUCGAAAUGAGGAGGAAGGGAGGAGGAGGAACAAAAAAGGAGACUAAAAUGUUUGUAAUAGCGGAAAAAGAGGUGUAGCUGCCCUGAGCUGCCAGGCUUCUUCUACUGUCUUUGUCUCUGGGAGUAUAGUAGCAGCUCCCCCAGUUCUCCAUCCCCAGCAAUUCCUUUGCUUUUCAGAGAAAGAGAUAAGAGGGAACUUUCCCCACCUACUUAGCUGCAAUUAUGGAUAGGCCUUUCCCCAAAGGACAUGAUGUAAAACCAUAACUAAAGGUUUCUUCUCAGGGCUGAAAUUCCUGAAGAAUUGUCAUCAGCGUCCUGAGUCUGGCUUCAACCUGGGACCAAGGUAACUCUCCAGACACAGAGAGAGAGGGGAACAGGGGUGCUCAGGUCCUACCCAGGCUAAAUGCAGGCUUUGGCUUUGGUUCUCAGGCUGUGGCACAUCACAGUGGGACUGAUCCUUAAUUCCAGCCCUUUCACCUGCUGCAGGAAGCUUCCAAGAUUACAGUCUUCACUUUAAAAACAGUAGGAUUGCUAAACUGAAACAAGGCACUCGAUUUUGCAGACUCUUGGCUCUGGAGAGGGGGGAAGAAGGCUGUAUUCAGAUAAAGCUGUCCUCAACCAAGAGAAACUGUUUACUUAAGGAGUCCCACCUAACCAUAGAGGUCUAAGUGCUACUAAAAGCGUGGUUUUUAUAUGUUUAUGACAAUACACCUAAGGGCAGUGUUGACUGAAACAACAAAGGCGAUUCAGCAAAUUUCUGGAGGCAGAAGGCUGUGACCCUGCAGCAUCAAUGCCAACAUGAAGGAGCACCGACAGCCCCUGGAGUACCUGAUGUAACCACGUGUCCAGAAUUCUUCUCCCAGAGGCCUGAUGAAUGGCAGUCUCCCCAUGCUGUCAUCCUUCUCUGAUGACUUCUCCAGUUUACUGUCUUCCAUUGCAUUAAAACAUCUGGCUUUAAUAGCACCUCUGUAAUACAUCCCUCAACAUCUGUGAAGAGGAGCAAGGGAUAAAAGGCACUGUUUCUUGCCUUUCCAUUGCUACUGCUCCUUUCUCCCAUAAAUUACAGAAAAAAUACCAUUACCUAGCUUCUCACUACCAUAAGUGACUGUCAGAAUGUCUCGGUAGGAUUUCAGCCUUACCAAUUACACACGCACAACCUUAACAACCUGACACACGCAAAUAUUAACCAUGGGUUUUAUCUGACAUGUCUUCUGGAGAUCCAAUCAGCUCAAAGUAGCAAAUUCAUCAUGUCAGUGCCACCGAGGAUAAGAUAAAACAUAAUCUGCAGUUUCAGUAAUACUGUUCUGAUCUUUAAUUCUAGCCAAGAAUAUAACCCGUAGUUGCUAUUUUGUCUCAGGGCCAAGUGUUCAGUUAGGUGAAGAAAAAGUACUGCCUAGAACAUUAAAUAUAUUACUUUGACUGUAUCUAUAGCCUGCCUGGUUGUUGAUAUAUAGAAAUAACAGAAACUUUCUUAAUUCCAAGCUUGUAGGAGUGAGAAACAUGGCAUUUCUCCAGGGCCUCACAAGGCUUCAUCAGGGGGCCACACAACUCGGCGAGUGAACUGAGGGAUGGAAGGAGAUGCCUGUACCCCCUCUUCCACAAAUCUAAACCUACCUAUAAAACCUGUAUUAAAAAAUAAAACCUGCUAUUGCUGCCUGGUGCCCA